GUUCAAUGUAUCAGUACGAAUACGAACCUCUGUUUGUCGUUAGCAGCCACAUUGUCUGGUCUGGCAUGGGUUUGACAGCAUCACGCUCAACUGGCCGGCACUGAAACUGUGUCGUUGAUUACCAUAAAGGCAGAUCCCGGGUUAAAACUUGAAAAACCCAUUUGGACGAAGCUCUUUGAUUUCAGCCAAUCUUAUCCAUGUUUGAUUCUUUGAUUUCAGUCAAUCUUAUCCAUGUUUGAUUGCAGCUUGGACGUCUGGUUGCAGAGGGGACAUCAUAAACCCUAAACCUAUCAUGCUUUGCCUAUUUCAUGCGGAAAGAUCUAUCAAAUGUAGCUUCUACUUUUCCUUUCUUGUCAGCUUGGACAUCUGGUUGCAUUGGGGACGUCAUAAACCCUAAACCUAUCACGGCGUGCCUAUUUCAUGCGGAAAGAUCUAUCAAAUGUAGGUUUUACUUUUCCUUUCUUGUUAGCUAUUGUGCAAUUCUUUACACAUGUUCUAUAUAAGGCUAUAAGCUUUCUUUUUAGAAAAAAAAAUAAUAAUAUAAUAUGUAGAUGAAUAAUUUUUACUGUUUAUACAAUGUUUUCACAACUUUAUAUAAUCAUUUCUAUAAAUUAAUAUCAUAA